AUGGCGCGCACGUACCUGGUCACGGACCUGACCAGGUCGAACCUGAACGAGGUGGACCUUGGGUGGGGCAAGCCGGUGUACGGUGGCCCGGCCACGACAACGCUAGCCACGUUCCACAUUCCAAUGAAAGGCGGUGGGAUCAUCGUGCCGAUGUGCCUGCCGUCACGCGCCAUGGAGAGGUUUGCGGUCAAUGUGCGUGCAGGGCUGUCGGGGGCUUCUUCUUCCUGUGGCCAUUCCAGUAGCAAGGACUCGACCGUGCUGUCCAAGUUGUAG
rnacentral:rRNA from 1 species